UACGAAGGGGGCUAGCGUUGUUCGGAAUUACUGGGCGUAAAGGGCGCGUAGGCGGUGUGUCAAGUCAGGCGUGAAAGCCCCGGGCUUAACCUGGGAACAGCGCAUGAAACGGUAUACCUAGAGGACGAGAGAAGGAAAGCGGAAUUCCUGGUGUAGCGGUGAAAUGCGCAGAUAUCAGGAGGAACACCGAUGGCGAAGGCAGGUCUCUGGGCAUUAACUGACGCUGAGGAGCGAAAGCAUGGGGAGCGAACAGG
rnacentral:rRNA from 1 species